AUGGAGAAAUACAAAGAUACCACCAAAGGAGAAUAUUCCUUGGUUUUUGACUACCAAUUGGAAUUGCUGAGAACUAACCCAGGUAGCACUGUUGCUAUCAAACUGGCAGAUGAUGUGAAAGAUGGUGAGCAUGUUUUUGAGAGGUUUUACAUGUGCUUUGGUGCUAUUAAAAAAGGAUUUCUAGCUGGCUGUAGAAAGGUUAUAGGACUUGAUGGAUGUUUCUUCAAAGGAGCUUGCUUUGGUCAGCUACUUGUUGCUUUGGGAAGAGAUGCCAACAAUCAGAUGUACCCUGUAGCUUGGGCUGUCGUCGAAAAAGAAACAUAUGAGUCUUGGUUCUGGUUUGUUGAGAAGUUAAACAGAGACCUCAAAAUCAGCAAUCAAGGGGAUGGGUGGGUGUUCAUCUCAGAUCAGCAAAAAGGACUAAUAGGGGCUAUAGAGGAUAUUCUUCCAAAAGCAGAACAUAGGAUGUGUGCAAGGCACAUUUACUCAAACUGGAAGAAAAAACAUAAUGACAAAGAUUUGCAAAAGAGAUUCUGGAGAUGUGCAAAGGCUCCUAACAGGGCUCUGUUCAACUAUAACAGAGUAAGGUUGGCUCAAUUCACGGUUGAAGGAGCAAAGGACAUGAUGAACACAGAUCCAGUUCACUGGAGUAGGGCUUACAUGAAAUUGGGAAGCUACUGUGAUUCAGUUGACAAUAACAUGUGUGAGUCAUUCAACAAUUGGAUCAUGGAAUCAAGAUAUCUACCUAUUCUUUCUAUGCUGGAGUGGAUAAGAUGCAAAAUUAUGGUGAGGAUACAAGAGUGCAUUACCAAGUGUUUGAAAUGGUCAGGAAUCAUAUGUCCUAACAUAUUUAAAAAACUAAAGCAGAAUAUAACAAAGUUCACAACCAAGCUCAUUGCAUGUGUCACAACAAAGAUCAUUGGUUCAGAGAAGUGCUCCAGCCAGCAAGCCUAG
rnacentral:rRNA from 1 species